UGGUUGAUUAUUGGGAGUUGUGGGGCUGAAAAAAGAGAAUUGUUGUCCCUCUUGGGCAGAGCUCAGGUCGUUGAGGAUAUUGGUAGUGUUGUUUUCGUUAUGGUUGGCCAUUGUGGAUCUUAGUGGGUUUUGUAAGAGUGAAACUUCGGUGACAGAAAGAUCUCCUUCGUUCCCACAGACGACGCCAAUUGAUGCUCUGAGAUCCAGAGAAAAUAGGGUUUACAGUAGUUGAGUAAG
rnacentral:lncRNA from 1 species